UCCAGCUUCCGCUGGGAUCGAACUCGGGUCGUGAGGAGAGUUUUGGUUUCAAUACUGCUGCCUACCACUCUGUGCCACAUGAGGCUGUUCUCACAUUAUGCUAACCCAUAAAAUGGUUUGAGGGUUUUGUUAUAGCACAUUAUAUGAACUCAGUAAUUGUUUUUUGUAAAGCAUAGGUUAUGGUUUAGCAAGAUGCAUGAACAUUAUCACUGUAGCUUAUUCAAGUAAUAUGGGAACCCUGCUUGUGUGUUUGCUUUAACGGUCAUUCUGAUGCAAGAUCUGUCAACACCGUACGUGAAUAGGACACCUAAAACAGCUAAUGAUCUUUUUGCACUUCUACUUUUUUGCUAUAUAGUAUUCUUUGUAUGUUGCAACAUACCCGUGAAAUUACUUGUUUUUGGGUGCAUAUAGUCCAGAGAGAUUAUUUGCCCUCUUCUGCUAAAGCUGUUCAAAUUAUGUGCAUCUGCUGUAUUUGGGCUCACCAUAUGAGCAAAGAAGCUAGUUUCUGGGGCAGAAUUUGCCUUCCUAAGAAUCUGACCAUUCAUUGAUUAAGUACUUUACUCAGUAAGAUUCCAUAGCUUCAAAGUUAUAACUUGAAAUUCAUUCUAUAUAUACUGUAUAUUCUCUGUCAUAUCAAAAUAUGUUUUCAUCUGUGCAUGUAUCAUUUAAUUUUAUUUUGUUAUAUAUUAUCAUAUGUUUUUAUUUCCUUAUGAGUUAAUAUUUUGUUUGUCCUAGGGCCUGGAAAUGCAAAUAUUCAUAAUUUGCAUAGUUUUCAGUCUAAGUUAAAUUAUAUUUACUUCGAUUUAAAUUACAGUCCUAAAGAGAGUUGUCAGUUUUAGUAUAACCAGUGGGACUUCUAUAGAGUGGCUUGACCAUUAGACUCCUGAGCCUAUAUGGAGCUCUAUAUUCAUAGGACUCUUAUUUCUCUUUUGUGAGCAAGGCAUUAAUAUUCACACAGUGAGGAACCUGUGCUGCCUUCCUCAGGCAAGAGAAAGGGAAAAUUCUGCACAUAAUUCUAGACCAUGGGUGCUUCAGUGUUUAUACAUAGAUCCUAUUUCCUCGCUCACUUGAAUAAAUGGCAGCGGCAUUGAGACAUCAUAUUCCAGUAAAUUGCAACUGCAAUUAUUAGUAAAGAACAUUGCAUGUAUACCAGGCUUUCUGCACUCCAGUGAGAUUACUAGAAUGAUUCCAAAAUUGAUGGAGUAUACCAGUUACCUAGGAAGUGUCAAACACAGCUGGCUGACCCAUUUAAUGGUGUAAAUGUUGAUCACUCAGGUCAGAAUUAUCCUAAUGAAUACUAUUUCUCUGGCUCAGCUGGUUUGAGCUCUCAAGGCGUAGACUUAGACCUCCACUUAAGCCAUUUAUUCCUGAGGAGUUUCAUUCAGAUGACUUUUCCACAGGAUCAUUACAAUGCAAUUCAUUAGAUGGCUACAGUUUGAGGAUUGUGUCCAUAAACAGAGUUUCUCUUGAACCCCUUCCAUAUAAACCAAUGAGAUUUACUUGGGAAUAAAUGUGUUUACAAUUGCAAGAAAAAAAUUUCAGUCUCAGGUUCUUGGUUAGUAACUGGCUGAUUCAAUGAGGACACAUGGUUAGUAACAGCACUCAAACCCAAUUGAUGGAGUCAACAUUUAUAUCCAUGUUAUUGUAUAUCUGCAAUGUAAAUGAUUACUAUUUUAAAUGAUGUGUGUUACAAUUUACUGAAGUGGAUCUCUCAGCUUGGAGCUGAGAUAAAAUGUAGUACGUAGUCUUAAAAGUGUUCCUAGUUGCAAGUGUAAGAGGCCUGUGCUCUUACAUUAUUGUUUGCCAUUUUUUUAAAAAAAAUGUUCAUUAUAGAUGCAUGAGCUGCUAAUCUAAUUAGAGAGACUAAAAGGUAGACAGGAAUUAAAAUAAGUGAUGUGAAUGAGCUGCAUAGUAUAAUAUUUGCAUUUUGCAACCUAAGCGACAAAGCUUGUUGGACAUGAUAUCUUUUAGAUCUCAUUUUUGGAUUGUUUUGAAAAGAAUAUAUGUGAACGUGAAAAGUUUAGAUAAAGUAAACUUUACAUGUAGAGCAGUACAGUGUAAAAGAUUGUGUGGGAAAUUAAAGUUAGAUUUAAUUAGCUUGAUUUAUUUUUUCUUUUUGUUUGUAGUUGUUAGGAAUGAGUGCAUGAUUUCUGCUAAGCUUUAGGUAUGAUAACUCUGUACAUAAUAAUAAAAAAGUGACAAUGAUUAAAUAAUUCUACAUUUUUUGAAUAGGGCUACCAAGAAACAACAAAAAAUGGCUUACUGCUGUGCUCCCAGACAUCAUCUAUUCAGCAAAAGACAUUUGAUCAAGGAUAGUCACUAUUAAUAUCUGUAGUUCCAGUUGCUGUUAGUCACAACAAAAAGGCCAGUAUAGUAGCCUAAUUAUUGAACUACAAAUUAAAGCAGCAGAUUUCAUAUAAAGAUCUGAAGUUCAAAAGUAUCAGUUCCAUGAAUAAUUCAUGCUUUAACUUCAGUAACAAGGUAUACUACAAUAAAUAUUAGACCACUGUGUGUGUUUGUGUGCAUAUAAACUAAAGUUUCAGAGAAAAAUUGUGGAUUAAGGUAAGAUUUACUCUUAUCAAGUCUUAUAGUAUCUUUUUGUUACCUUCUUUCUUACAAAUAAAAAGGGAGGGAGGUGAAAGUAGAAUACUGAUGAAGUCUAAUAAGUGUCAAUUACUAGAAAUUAGGGCCAUUGACAAUUUUAAAAAAUAUGAAAUGGAUGUCCUCUGCACCUAACUCUGUAGUUUAGCAGGGAUUCAACAUGUUCAGAGAUACCUUUCUAUGAGGGUAUACGUUUAAAAUCUGAGAUACGUGGAUAUGUAUAAAACUCUUAGUGUACAAUAUUAUAGUGUUAAAAAAGAUUGCCAUCAACCAGUUUUUAUAAUUACUGUAUUCUGGUCAUUAGCUGUCCUGUCCCUGCUCCCAUGCCAUCAGUCCAAACUGAAAGCAAUGUAAUAUAACUACCCUUCCACAAAAUCUGAUAAAUCAGAACAUGUUCUCCCAGUUGGAAAAAAGUUGUUAGAAUUUGGCCUGGAGAUGACAUGGAUGACCACCACUGUAGAAAUCAACAAGUGAAACAGUUGCCUAUGAAAGAACUCAGCAAUCCACAAGAGACAGUGAUUAUGUAUCGCAGAGCCAGCCAAAGAUCCAGUUGCCUUCCACUGAAGAGAUGUGGUUCCACCCCAAGUGUUGCUGCCACUGACAGUGUGCAGUGAAUAGGAGAAAGUUACGUAUACCUUCCUCAGCAGAAUCUUUCAAGACUGUAAGAAUGCACCUAAACUCCCCAGUGCAAUAUAAGGAGGAAUCAUAGCAUCUAAUAUUUUUAUGACAAAUGGGUAGAACCUGAUGUCUGUGCUCAGUGGUCCUUAUAAUGCUGUUUAAUCUACAACUGUUUUCUCCGUUCUGUCAAACACGACCUUUAGAUUAAGCCACUGGAACUCUUAAUAUUCAAUAUGAUCUGAAUAACUGGUUCUGUCCUAAUCAAGUCACUUUUAUAUCAAAAUCCAUUUAUGAUUUUUGGCUAACUGCAAUAAAAGCUUCCCUAAAUCGAAAA